rnacentral:lncRNA from 1 species
AGCUCACUGCCCUGGUAACGACUGGACCCUAUGAAUUAUAAGGUGUCCUGAUGAGUUAUUAGGAUGAGUUGUAAAAAAACUAGUAUGUUUGUCGCUUGAUUCUUCUCUGAGUGUGAGUAGAUCACUAAUAUCCAUAAGGAUAUGUUAUGAGUCAUUAGGCGUAAUCAUAGGGUGUGCAGUGUAAGUCUCAAUUUGGGCUCUGUGUUGGCUAUGCCUGGACCUUAUAAGUUG